rnacentral:tRNA from 1 species
GGCUCCGUAGUUCAAGGGAUCAGAAUAUCUGACUUCGGAUCAGAGGAUGGGGGUUCGAAUCCCUCCGGGGCUA